CCUCCAGCCUGGGUCUGCUCUGAGCCAGGGGCCACCACAUGUCUUCCCAAGGGACAGAGCUGCCCUCUGACCAGGUUGCCAGUUGGCAAAGAACUGGGCAGUAGCCCUUAGCUCCAGAGGCAGUGGCCAAGGCCAGGACUACAGGGACUGGAGACACCUGUGGUUUGAGCAAAAACAAACACCUUCUGCCUCAGGGCACAGGAAGACCCACCCCAGAUCUUGGAUUCUUGACCGUGCUGCCUGCUGGAAUGUUGACUGGAUCGUACACAGGCAACCGUAGCAGUGGCGAGUUUGUGGGUGCAAUGACUCCGACCUUCGCUCUCGAUUCUGCACUGCACACUGAGAGCGACAACUGUGAGCACUGCCCACUGCUCGCUAAGCCUCCCUGACUGAGAAACAUCAGUGGUGGCCAAGGUAGAAGGCACUUGAUUUCUGGAGUCAUAACCUAGAGAUCCAUCAGGGAGGGGAGCAUAACAGAUACCUUCUCAUUGGAGGCUCCCAUGCCUGGUCUAGCAGAAGACAACCUGCCUAGAUUGGCUCUGCUGAGACCCUGUCUCCUGGCCAGCUGCAAAUUCUGACCUCUAUCCCCUACUCUGGAUCUGUCAGAGGCUGGUGAGCCAGCGACUUGGGCAGGAGUCACACUCCCAGCAAGGACAAGAUGAAACUAGGAAGUGGGCCCCAUGCUAUUCAAGUGUCCGCCUGCCAUUCUUUCCGGGUUUGGGGGUGGCUGCUCCUAAAUAGGGCCUUAGUCACCUUCUGUCAGGAACCCUAUACUGAAGCUCCGGGAAAUGCCACAGGCCACUACAGCUAGACUCCUUGAGGCUGACCCAAAGACCCACACUCAAGCUGCCUGCUGGGGACUCUCCUGAGGACUUGCCGUGUUCCCAGCUCAUCCCAGCUCAUCCAGGAAAAGCCAACAUCUAGAGCCUUUGAGGACUUCUAUGUCCUCUGAAUGUACCUUCUGCUGGAACCUGCCCCAGCAGGACAUCUUCCCUCUGUCCUACAUCAAGGCCUGCACAGAGGGACUGGAGAGAUGGCCCAGUGGUUAACAGCACUGACUGCUCUUCCAGAGGUCCUGAGUUCAAAUCCUAGCAACCACAUGGUGGCUCACAACCAUCUGGGAUGGGAUCUGAUGCCCUCUUCUGGUGUGUCUAAAGACAGCUACAGUGUACUCAUAUAUAAUAAAAAAAUAAUAAUAAAAAAAAAGACCCAGGUACUAUCUCUUUCCCCUCCACACAGCAGGCUUUGAGCCUGCAUCCUGUGUAUGCCCUGGGGUGAUUCCAUCAUGGAAUGGCUUGUCAACUUGACACAAGCUAGAGCCAUCAGAGGGGAGGGAACCUCAACUGAGAAAAUGCCUCCAUAAGAUCAGGCUGUAGGCAAGCCUGCAGGGCACUUUCUAAAUUAGAGAAGGAUGGGAUGGACCCAGCCCAUUGUGGGUGGUGACGUUCCUGGGCUAGUGGCCCUGGGGUCUAUAAGAAAGCAGGCUGAGUAAACAGGGAAGCAGCACCCCUCCAUGGCCUCUGCAUCAGUUCCUGCCUCCAGGUCCCUUCCUUCUUCGCGUUCCUGUCUUGACGUCCUUUGGUGAUGAACAGUGCUGUGGAAAUGUGAGCCAAAUAAACCCUUUCCUCCCCGAGCUGCUUUGGUCAUGGUUUCGUCACAGCAACAGUGACCCUGACUAAGACAAUCACAGCCGUGUGAGGGUGCAGCUUUUCCCUUUACCAGCAGGGUUGGAAGCCACUCCUGGGAGUUUCUAUGCAAAGUGGGCUAGAAGGGCCCGGGAAAGCCUCAGGUGCUCAGCAAAUAUACCACACAGUCCCAGAUUUACAAUGUGAUGCCCUGUUGUUGCUGUUGCUGUUGUUGUUUUUCUUUAUGGUGCUGAGAAAGGGAAAUGCAUUCAAUAGAAAUGAAACUUCAGGGCUGGAGAGAUGGCUCAGCAGUUAAGAGCACUGACUGCUCUUCCAGAGGUCCUGAGUUCAAAUUCCCUUUGCCAUAUGAUGGCUCACAACCACCUGUAAUGGGAUCUGGCGCCCUCUCCUGGUGUGUCUGAAGACAGCUACAGU